rnacentral:rRNA from 1 species
GAUGAACGCUGGCGGCGUGCCUAAUACAUGCAAGUCGAGCGAACAGACGAGGAGCUUGCUCCUCUGACGUUAGCGGCGGACGGGUGAGUAACACGUGGAUAACCUACCUAUAAGACUGGGAUAACUUCGGGAAACCGGAGCUAAUACCGGAUAAUAUAUUGAACCGCAUGGUUCAAUAGUGAAAGACGGUUUUGCUGUCACUUAUAGAUGGAUCCGCGCCGCAUUAGCUAGUUGGUAAGGUAACGGCUUACCAAGGCAACGAUGCGUAGCCGACCUGAGAGGGUGAUCGGCCACACUGGAACUGAGACACGGUCCAGACUCCUACGGGAGGCAGCAGUAGGGAAUCUUCCGCAAUGGGCGAAAGCUUGACGGAGCAACGCCGCGUAAGUGAUGAAGGUCUUCGGAUCGUAAAACUCUGUUAUUAGGGAAGAACAAAUGUGUAAGUAACUAUGCACGUCUUGACGGUACCUAAUCAGAAAGCCACGGCUAACUACGUG